GACGAACGCUGGCGGCGUGCCUAAUACAUGCAAGUCGAACGCAGUGGGGACGGGUGAGUAACACGUGGGUAACCUCCCAUCAGAGGGGAUAACACUUGGAAACAGGUGCUAAACCGAUACUGAUGGAUGGACCCGCGGUGCAUUAGCUAGUUGGUGAGGUAACGGCUCACCAAGGCCACGAUGCAUAGCCGACCGGAGAGGUUGAUCGGCCACACUUGGACGGAGCCACGGCCCGGACUCAAACGGGAGGCAGCAGUAGGAAAUCUUAGGCAAUGGACGAAAGUCAGAGCAAGCGCCGCAGCGCGUGUGAAGAAGGUUUUCGGAUCGUAACACUCUGUCGGUGGAGAAGCGGGAGCUAACCAGAAAGCUACGGCUUACUACGGGCCAGCAGCCGCGGUAAUUC
rnacentral:rRNA from 1 species